rnacentral:rRNA from 1 species
AGUGAACGCUGGCGGUAGGCCUAACACAUGCAAGUCGAACGGCAGCACAGUAAGAGCUUGCUCUUACGGGUGGCGAGUGGCGGACGGGUGAGGAAUACAUCGGAAUCUACUUUUUCGUGGGGGAUAACGUAGGGAAACUUACGCUAAUACCGCAUACGACCUACGGGUGAAAGCAGGGGAUCUUCGGACCUUGCGCGAUUGAAUGAGCCGAUGUCGGAUUAGCUAGUUGGCGGGGUAAAGGCCCACCAAGGCGACGAUCCGUAGCUGGUCUGAGAGGAUGAUCAGCCACACUGGAACUGAGACACGGUCCAGACUCCUACGGGAGGCAGCAGUGGGGAAUAUUGGACAAUGUGCGCAAGCCUGAUCCAGCCAUACCGCGUGGGUGAAGAAGGCCUUCGGGUUGUAAAGCCCUUUUGUUGGGAAAGAAAAGCAGCAGGUUAAUACCCCGCUGUUCUGACGGUACCCAAAGAAUAAGCACCGGCUAACUUCGUG